rnacentral:rRNA from 1 species
GACGAGGAGACGUAGGUGGUCGUAUGGUUGUCGUCAGCUCGUGUCGUGAGAUGUUGGUUAAGUCCCGCAACGAGCGCAACCCUACGUUUAGUUGCUAACAGGUGAAGCUGAGCACUCUAGACGAACUGCCGUUGACAAAACGGAGGAAGGUGGGAUGACGUCAAAUCAUCAUGCCCUUAUGUUCUGGGCUACACACGUGCUACAAUGGCCGGUACAGACGGAGGCGAAGCCGCGAGGCGGAGCAAAUCCGAAAAAGCCGGUCUCAGUUCGGAUUGCAGGCUGCAAUUCGCCUGCAUGAAGUCGGAAUCGCUAGUAAUCGCGGAUCAGCAUGCCGCGGUGAAUACGUUCCCGGGCCUU